GAUGAACGCUAGCUACAGGCUUAACACAUGCAAGUCGAGGGGCAGCGGUAUCGAAAGCUUGCUUUCGGUAGCCGGCGACCGGCGCACGGGUGAGUAACGCGUAUCGAACCUGCCUCAUACUCGGGAAUAGCCUUGCGAAAGUAAGAUUAAUGCCCGGUGUUUUCAGAGUCCCGCAUGAGGCUUUGAACAAAGAUUUAUCGGUAUGAGAUGGCGAUGCGUCCCAUUAGCUUGUUGGCGGGGUAACGGCCCACGAAGGCAUCGAUGGGUAGGGGUUCUGAGAGGAAGGUCCCCCACAUUGGAACUGAGACACGGUCCAAACUCCUACGGGAGGCAGCAGUGAGGAAUAUUGGUCAAUGGGCGGAAGCCUGAACCAGCCAAGUAGCGUGCAGGAAGACGGCCCUCCGGGUUGUAAACUGCUUUUAGUUGGGAAUAAAACGGGGCUCGUGAGCCCCCUUGCAUGUACCAUCAGAAAAAGGACCGGCUAAUUCCGUG
rnacentral:rRNA from 1 species